GAUCUGCGGAGGGAAUCAGGUCUUCAUUCAUAUGUCAACCUCGAUCACGUUGUGGGAUUAGCGACACUUCCAACUAAAACAGCAGAAUAGCUUAAAAGAACCAGUUCAGGCUAAAAAAAACAUCCAGCCCUCCAUCCAUCCAUCCAUCCAUCCAUCAGGACUCCCAAGCAGCAUACGACACAAUGCAGGGAUAUGGCCCAGUAGGCCCUGGUGACACACCUGCCUCCCCUGCUUCCUGAAGAACUCUCCAGUGUUCUCAAUGACCUGCUCGUCCGACAGCAGACUGUAGGGCUGCUCCUUGCACAGGGUGAAGAUCUCCCAGAGCGUCACACCGAAAGCCCACACAUCACUUGCAGUGGUGAACUUCCCCUGUAGGGGGCGGCACCAUUUAAUGGCAUUUAAAAAAAAAAAUCAACUGCUUGCUUCCUCUGUUUCAUCUAUUUUGCUAAAUUAUUCCCAAAGACUCGAUAACACAAACAUAACGCUUAUACAAAUCAGUGUUAAAUUAUCUUGUUGGUAUAAAACUUUGAUUUUAUGUUUGUCAAUGUGUGUCAGUUUAACCAUUUCAGAGGCUCUCCUACAGUCUCCCCAGUAUUGGCAGCAGCCUCCCAAUACAUAUAUGUAUUUUUUGACUCGACCACAAGCAUACCAUGUUUUGCUAAUCAAUACCUUGUUGACUAAUUAAAUUAAUUAAGUGAGCCGGUGGUGAAAUUUAACAAAAACAAGGAAUGUCUGAGGUGCCCCUGAGGAGAGGUUUGGGAACUGAAGCGGUGUGUUUCAAGCCAUCUGCUUCAGUCAGACCUCAAAAAUAACUUUUGGGAAACCAGAAGAUAUUCUUAUGGUGUUACUCUUAAUUUGCAUCUAGCUCUAAUGAUAAAUAGUGUUUUUGUUCUGAGCAAAUAUACACUUACUACCCAGACAAACAGCUUUAAACAUUUCCUUUGGCUGCCUAAGACUUUUGCACAGUGCUGUAUAUGCAUAUACACACACAUAGUGUUGGGACAGCUGUGCGUUCCCAUUUUGCAAACUUUUGUCCCAGGAAAACAGGACCCCUCCCAUACAGACACGCACACAUGCCCACACGCACCAGCAGGAUGCUCUCCCAGGCCAUCCAGCGGAUGGGCAGCACGGCACGGCCCUGGAUGCGGUAGUAGUCACUGCUGUAGAGAUUGCGGCUCAUGCCGAAAUCGGCGAUCUUGAUGGUGAGGCGCCGGUCCAGCAGGCAGUUGCGUGUAGCCAGGUCCCGGUGCACGAAGUUCAGCGACGCCAGGUAACGCAUUCCCGAUGAGAUCUGGACCGACAUGUGCAGCAGAUCUGACAUGCUGGGGUGGGGGCAGGGGUACCAGACAGACACAACGAGACUCAGCAGCUCGCAACACAACACAAGAAAAACAAGAUUUCCUUUUGCUGGGAAUCGCUUCCUCAAUCACUUCCUGCCGCUUUCUCUUUCGCUUCCAAGUUUGUUUUUCUACUUUGCUAUGUUUGUUUUGCUUCUAUGAGCUCAAGAUGAAUAGAGAAUGACAGUCAGAUGAAAGAGUCCGCAGAAGCUGGGACUUGAACAGUGUCAACGGCUAAUGGGCUAACAGCCAAAAACACACAGGAAGUAAUAAGACUAUAAAGGGAAAAAAGCUGGUGGUAGCCAUUCAGCUACCGCAGGAAAGACAAGGAGUUAGAAGAAAGGAGGGUACUGAUUGGCUAACUGGCUGGCAGACAAAUGACAACAGGCUGAUGAUUGGAUGAGCAACACUGGGAAAUCUGGGUUCUGCCCAAUGAGAACUUUAGGUAGAGGGCUGCAGCUAUGCCAGCUCACCUCACAGACGGGAUGCUGUUGGCGUGAGUUAGCGUGCUCUCGAUCUCGCGCUGCGACAGGAACAUGUUGAGGUCACCGUUCUCCAUGUACUCAGUGACCAUGCAGAGUGGGUCCGAUCGCACGCACACGCACAGCAGCUGGAUGAUGUUUGGGUCGUUGAGGCGUGACAUGAUCUUUAUCUCCUUCAGGAAGUCAUUCCUGGGGACACAGAGAGCAGAGGUGGGAUGUUUGCACUUCCUGCUCACCUCCAUCCAGCAGAUCCGAGGCAGCAUGCAGGACGCCCACUUCAUUUUGGGGAAGGGAGUCUUUGGUCUCCCAUCCUUGAAAACUGUAGGUACUUUUUCACACAGAUCUUCAACAGAUCCUUGGAGCUGUGCGAUGCCCCCUCCUGCUUCAAGCACUCCACAAUCAUCCCGGUCCCAAAGAAACCCUCAAUCACAGGGUUAAACGACGACUGGC